ACACAAAGCAAGGAAAGUCACAGUUCAAAUGGGAAACAGGAAGCUUGGAAAGAAGGAAAAAAUAUCAGUUAAACCAUCCAUUCUCGAACGUCCUAUUCAUAAAUUAGUUUUACUUCUAGAAAACAACUGAGAGGUGUUCUAAUGAAACCUUAGACAUUUUGAACACUUACCAGUGUGGAGAAUUAAGGUACUUCACAUAUAUCCACCUUGGUUCUUGAAAUGACUAGAUUUAUUCACAUGUAAGGUUUCAUAAAUCAUAGUAAUUUGGUGGGAGUGUAACGGUCUGAGAAAUGUUUAUAUUUGGAUGUUCAUUGUGUGCCUUGCUUAUCAAUUUAUGAUUUAGUCAAUU